rnacentral:rRNA from 1 species
CAGCAGCCGCGGGAAUACGGAGGGUGCAAGCGUUAAUCGGAAUUACUGGGCGUAAAGCGCACGCAGGCGGUCUGACAAGUCAGAUGUGAAAUCCCCGGGCUUAACCUGGGAACUGCAUUUGAAACUGUCAGGCUGGAGUCUUGUAGAGGGGGGUGGAAUUCCAGGUGUAGCGGUGAAAUGCGUAGAGAUCUGGAGGAAUACCGGUGGCGAAGGCGGCCCCCUGGACAAAGACUGACGCUCAGGUGCGAAAGCGUGGGGAGCAAACAGGAUUAGAUACCCGCGUAGUCCCUGUCUCUUAUAU